rnacentral:lncRNA from 1 species
UUCUUCAACCUCCUCCCUCCACUCAUUUCUUCUCAGAGAGGGUCUGGUGGAAGGCCAGGAGGGGCGGGCUGACCGGGGCAAGGUGCGCCUUCGCCGUUGUUGAGAAGACCGUCGGUGGAAGGAGUUCAAGUGUAUCUUCAGGUUGGAUUUUUGGAUCCCGUCUCCUACCUCUCCCUCUCUUACCUUUUCCUCUUCAGUUUUCUGCAACGCGGUCGUUGCUUCUGCAACGCAUCCGUUGUUUCAGGAGUUCUGGUUGGAUUUUUGGAUCCCGUCUCCUACCUCUCCCUCUCCAUUUAUCUCUCUUUAGUUUUUUGCAACGCAGUCGUUUGUUGCAAAAAUUCUACAACUAAGACGAAGAAAUUUUUUGAAACAUGAUCUUUGUUGUAAAAAUUUCUCCCGCAACAGUACCUGUGUUGCAGAAAGACAGAAAUAAAAUUCUGCAACAAAGCGAUUGUUUCUGGAACUCAACCGUUGUUUCAGGAAUUAAUGGGUCCAAAGUUUAUUUUUUGCAACAAAGCGAUUAUUUCUGCAACUCGACCAUCGUUUCAGAAAUUAUUGGAUGCCCGACAGGAGCCCCGCGCGCGCGGAUCGGACGGCUGCGCGCGUAGAUCGGACGAUCAUUUAGUAAAACAUCCGCCGGUGGAUGUGUAGCAGCCCCCAUUAAGGAAUGUUGAAACUCGAGCGAAGGGCAGCCAAGAUACAACAGGAAGACGAUCAACUCUUUGCAGAUGCUCAUCUGCUGGGAGACUUGGAAUGAAAAGGAUGCGCGAGUUUUCCGCAACAAGGAAUCCCUGCCCACUCGGGUGGCGGCCACAAUCAUGGACGAGGCGAAGACUUGGGUAAUUGUCAGGACUAAAUUUUUGAAAAACGCUUUACCGGGAGAGUGAUCCCUUUUAAUCGGGCCUGUGUGGCCAUGUAACAAUUAAAACUACGUUAUCUUCCUUCUUAUUUAAUGAGAUGAGACAAAGUUUUUGCUUUCGUUUUGAAAAAAUCUGGUUUUACAAGCUUACUUAAAUUCCCAGUUUUGCAUAACAUAAUGAUUUCUCUGUACCAUAAUAUUUGUUGUUGGGAAAAACUAGAACUAGUUUAGUUCUUCUCAACAACAAGUAUUUAGGAACAAAGGAAGUACAUAGCUUGAGAAGUUAAAAGAAGGCUAAUUUUGGUCUACACUCUUGCAUGGUCAUGAAAGUAUCAAUUAUAUCUCUGUUUUGCUCUUCAAUAGAUAUAGGCCCCUUCUUUCUUCUCUAUCUUUAAAGCAUGUCUACGAAAAAGAGAGGCAAUGUAUCUUCAUUCUUCAACAGAGUUUACUUUACUUUCUAUCAAUAAGGCUAAUUGAGGCAAAAUUGAUGUCCAAAUUUAUGUGUGUGUUCGGUUCAUGUCAUGAACUUCAAUCAGGCUAACACAACAAAAGAGCAAACCAAAAAUAGCUAAAUAAGAAAUUGAGGAAUGGAUAAAUUGGGCACCUUAAAUCAGGCUAAUUGUGGUAGGGUUGCUGACUUGCUAGUUGCUACCGGCCGAGUGCCGGACUGGUGACCGGGCGGCUGCCGCCUGUUUCGCAGGGGCGCCACCGCGCCAGACAUCCAUGGACAGGGCAAGGUCGCAGCUCGUAGGAUGGGCGUGGCUGCCGCCGAGGGCCAGGCGGGCGGCAAGGAGUGGAAGGGACCGCUUGCGUGGCUGAGCUCCGGCCAGGGACCGGCCAAGGCGGUGAGCUAGCGAGGAACAUCGAGGCAGUGCCGCAGCGGGGAUGGGACGGCUCAGCCGCUGGGGAGUCUGCCAUCGGGGACCGAAGAACUCGUUGGAUCGACGCGUCUCUGUGCGUGCUAUGUGUGUUGGGUCGAAUAUGAAGUUGGGCUUUUCUUUCUCUGGCCCGUCUAAAUAUGCAUAAGUAUAUAACGCAGUCCAAAAUUUCAGGAUGGGCCGCGACCCACUCUGUACCUCCGCCCCUGCCUAGAGCUGACGCGUGGAAAUUCUCAACAACAACAAAAAAAAACGGACGCACCACUCAAAAAAAAUGACCAUGGGUCGAUGGCAGAGAGGUGACACAACAUGGUGUAGUCAUAAGACCGCCUACAAUCAAAAAUAACAUAGAGUAGUAACAUGUAUAUGUUAUUGUUACUACUUUCUCCGUCUCAGUGUAUAAGUCAUUCUACGAAAAUCAAAUUAUCCAAAAACACUUAGACACAGUGCAUUAACUUUCAUCUCGUUUCUUGUUUUUUGACAUGAAUAAAGGAAUCAACCAAUAAAAGACAUCUGGCGUGUAUGUCUUUAAUGACUUAGACUAACUAGCACAACAUGCAGCGAUUAAUUCAUUGCAUGUAAUGGUAUUAAUUAGCAAAUUAACAUUAAUUUCUUUCAUUUUCCUCUUUGUCUUGGUUGCGGUGCACAACCUAAGAUGAUCUAUACACCGAGACGGAGGGAGUAGUCUAAAUCAUUACCUCCAUAGUGGAUAGUAACAUAAAGGCUUUCAUUUAUUAGCUUAUAGAAUCGUCUUGUCUUCGUAUGUGUGAUGUUAGUCAUAGUAUGAGUAACUAGCUAUAUUACUACUAUUCAAUUUAUCUGUCUCCUCACUAAUUAGCUAUCACAUCAUGUUUUUUGUUUAGGUGUCAUCUAUAUUACUAUCUACGUUACUCCACUUGUUAUGAAUGUGCAACUUAUCUUAUUAGGAGGCUAAAGCCAACAUAUAUACACAUACAUGAGGAUGCAAAAAGGACACGAGGAUGCCAAGAGACUAGAAUGCAAAAGGUCAAAAGACAUUACUAAUACUCCCUCCUUUCAAAUUUGUAAGGCUCAUAUAAACAAAAUAGAUUUUCAUUAUAUUAGGCUUAUUUUGAGUCUAAUUGAGUUACAGUGCUUUGAGUCUCAUGCCAUGUUUAAUUCAUAGAGAUAAGAGAAAGAAAUACUAGUGGUUAUGCAUGCAUCUUUCUCUACAUGCACCUUGCAAGUCCAAUAAAAGGGAGGAUGCUACAUUUA